rnacentral:rRNA from 1 species
UGAAGGCCCGACCUACCAGAGCUGAAAAUCUGGAGGAUGAACUGUGGGUAGGGGCGAAAAACCAAUCGAACUCAGUUAUAGCUGGUUCUCCCCGAAAUAGCUUUAGGGCUAGCCUCAAGUGUUUAGUUAUGGUGGUAGAGCACUGAAUGGAAUAGGGACCCUACAAGGUUACCAACUCCAAUUAAACUCCGAAUGCCAUAACUUUAGAGCUUGGGAGUCAGUCUAGCAGGGAUAAGCUUGUUAGACAAGAGGGAAACAGCCCAGACCGUCAACUAAGGUCCCUAAAUAUGAGCUAAGUGGUAAAGGAAGUAAAACUGCUCAGACAACCAGGAUGUUGGCUUAGAAGCAGCAACCAUUUAAAGAGUGCGUAACAGCUCACUGGUCGAGUGAUUUUGCGCCGAAAAUGUAUGGGACUCAAGCUCAUUACCAAAGUUACGGAUUUAAGAUAUUAAUUUUUUAACAUCUUAAGUGGUAGGGGAGCAUUCUGUGUGGGUUGAAGCCAGAUUGUGAAAUCUGGUGCACUGCACAGAAGAGACAAUGCCGGUAUGAGUAACGAAAGACAAGCGAGAAACUUGUCCACCGAAUGCCUAAGGUUUCCUGGGGAAGGCUAAUCCGCUCAGGGUCAGUCGGGACCUAAGCCGAGGCCGAAAGGCGUAGGCGAUGGAUAACAGGUUAAUAUUCCUGUACCACCGAGUUAUGUUUGAGCGAUGGGGUGACGCAGGAAGGUAUACCUACGCGGCGAUGGUUGUCCGCGAACAAACAUGUAGGGUGUUUCUUUGGUAAAUCCGGGAAACAUGAAGCCCGAGAUGUGAUGUCGAUCCUUUUUUGGAGAAGUGGUAAACCCUAUACUGCCAAGAAAAACCUCUAGUGAG